GACGAACGCUGGCGGCGUGCUUAACACAUGCCAGUCGAGCGAACGGACCCUGCUUUUGUGGGGUUCUCGAUUGGCGCGCGGGUGAGUAACACGUGAGUAACCUGCCCUUGACUUUCGGAUAACUUCAGGAAACUCGGGCUAUUACCGGAUAGGAUCUCCUGCUGCAUGUUGGGGGUUGGAGAAUUUCGGCGGUUGUGGAUGGACUGGAGGCUUAUCCGCUUGUUUGUCGGGUAGUGGCGUACCAAGGCUUUGACGGGUAGCCGGCCUGAGAGGGUGACCGGCGACAUGGGGACUGAGAUACGGCGCAGACUCGUACGGGAGGCAGCAGUGGGGAAUAUGGCAGAAUGGGCGGAAGCCUGAUGCAGCAACGCCGCGUGCGGGAUGACGGCUUUCGGGUGGUAAACCGCUUUCGCCGGUGACGAAGCGUGAGUGACGGUAAUGGGUAAAGAAGCAACGGCUAACUACGUG
rnacentral:rRNA from 1 species